rnacentral:sRNA from 1 species
GCCGGGUGUGGUGGUGCACGCCUGUAAUCCCUGCAGUUUGGGAGGCUGAGGCAGGAGGAUUAAAAGUUCAAAACCAGCCUUAGCAAUUUAGUGAGGCCCUAAGAAACUUAGUGAGACCCUGUCUCAA